rnacentral:lncRNA from 1 species
UGAUAAGUUCGUUUGCAUUAUUCAGGGUUGUAUACUGGGGUUCCUCGUCUAAAGUUCUUAAUAUUUUUGUCUUGAAAAUACCCAGUCUAGUUUCACGAUAUCGCUAUGAAUCAACCAUGCUUGGCUUUGCUUUGGCACAAUGUGGAGGAUUUUGGCAGGCAGUUUAGAAGUAUUUAUAGCAAAGACAUCUCUCUUAAUUUCCUCUGUAAACUUCAAUAAGGGAUAGGAAAAGCACUCCCUUUUCGUUUUCCGUUUGUUUUUGUCUUGAUUUUUUUUUAUUUAUACGAAUG